rnacentral:rRNA from 1 species
AGAGGGUGACACUCCCGUCCGCCUGGCAGAGUGAGUCAUUUGUCAACGAGUCGAGUUGUUUGGGUAUUGCAGCUCUAAUUUGGUGGUAAAUUCCAUCUAAAGCUAAAUAUUGGUGGGAGACCGAUAGCGGUACAAGUACCGUGAGGGAAAGAUGCAAAGAACUUUGAAAAGAGAGUUAAAGAGUACCUGAAACUGCUGAAACGGAAGACGAAGGAAACCAGUGUUUGUGUGUUCAUACUUUCCCUAGCCACUUGUGGCUUGGGGCGCUGUGGGCUUACGUGAGUUUGGGUUGGUUGAUUCCUUUGGAAGAGCGCAGUCAGAGUUGAUGUCU